rnacentral:tRNA from 1 species
GCUUUCGUAGCCCAACCGGUAGAGGCAACAGAUUUAGGAUCUGUCCAGUAAGGGUUCGAAUCCCUUCGGAAGCA